GGACUUGUGGUGUAGCUUGGUAGUCAUUCGUCUUUCGGAUGGGCGAGGCCCGGGUUCAAAUCCCGGCAAGUCCC